rnacentral:rRNA from 1 species
AAUACCCUAUUAUUUUAAAAGUAAUUAAAUAAAUCUAAUUAGUAAUAGUUAAGUUCUUGAAAAUUAAAGAAUUUGGCGGUAUUUUAGUCUAUUCAGAGGAAUCUGUCCUAUAAUUGAUAAUCCACGAUUUUUUAUACCUAAUUUAUUAAUUUACAUAUCGCCGUAGUUUGAAUAUUUUUUGAAAAUUAUAAUAUUCAUAAUUUAUUUUUAUAAAAAAAAUCAGGUCAAGGUGUAGUUUAUAAUUGGGAAGAGAUGGGUUACAAUAAAAAUAUUUAUUAUGGAUUAAUUAAUUAAAUUUUUUUAUGAAGGUGGAUUUGAAAGUAAUUUUAUUCA